GACGAACCGUGCGAACGUUAUUCGGAAUCACUGGGCUUAAAGCGCGUGUAGGCGGGUCGGCACGUCGGUCGCUGAAAUCCCCCGGCUCAACCGGGAAGGGGCGCCGAUACGGCCGGCCUGGAGGGACGUAGGGGCUGGAACUUCCGGUGGAGCGGUGAAAUGCGUUGAGAUCGGAAGGAACGCCCGUGGCGAAAGCGAGCCCUGGACGUCUACUGACGCUGAGACG
rnacentral:rRNA from 1 species